ensembl:lncRNA
CUUUCCCCUCCCCCGGUCCUUAGACAGCCAUUUCCACUCUGCCACAUGGCCUUACCAACAAACAAACCGAUAACUGGAGAUGAAACACAAAUCGCUAACUGCCCAGUCGGGAGAGAGAAAAGCGCAGUUGGUAGAGAAAACCUAUAUGACCUGCUUCCAGAAGGGCAAAGUGAAGAGGGAACAUCAAUGGCUCACUUCAAGGUCUAUCUCCAGUGCAGAGACGAAACUCCAGCCAAAACACCUAAUUCUGUGCAAGCGCCACAGGCUAACACGUUGCGUGGUGUACAGGACUGUCCGGAAGGUGCUUGACAUCGAUGGAUGGUAUUUAAUGGGGAUGGAAUAUCUAGAAUGCAACCCCUGUGAAAAGAAGUUGGCAGGUUGGUCACUGGAUGUCCUUAACCAGGUGGACACAAGUUCUCAGCGAUCUUGGCUUUUCGGUUAAUUCCCAUGGUGUAUCAGGCUGUCCUGUGACCUGAAGGUAGUCAGAAUAGACGAGGGAGCGUACACUUGGGAACAGCGUGACUAGGCUCUUCCUUACCUCAAGAAGGCUGCUCCAUUGCCCCCUACUAUCUGUCAGGACCUGGAGGAGGAUGAGUACACAAGUCCUGAUGGGGUUGUCGGGUAUCAACAUGUCGUUCUCCUUGCCAAAAGUCUGAUGAGACUCUUGGAGAGGCUGUCGAUCUCGACUCGGCAUGCCCAAAGAGAUAAUCGCCCUGUGAGAGAAUCUUCCAGAGGCGAACAAGAUGAGUCUCCUCAAAGACCACAGCAGUCGAGGGGGAAGAUAGCAUGAAGCGCUCCCUAUUUGGACAAGGACCUGGACCUGCCCUGUGGCCCAACACUAGCAGCACAGUAGAGGCUUUCUUUUUGGAGCUUUGCCAGACUGUCCUUGGUGUGCGGGACAACAGCUCAUAGACCGUGGUGUUGGUCUGGGCCAUCAACCCUGGGCUGUUCAGCACCGCCUCUCUGACUGAAGAGGAUCGCCCACCUGCACCUCUUAGGGCCGCAUGGAUGCUGGUGACAGAGCUGGCUGCAAAUGGCCUCGACCAGGCGACUGCCGCCUGGCCACGUAGCAGGACCCGGGUUAAGUCUGAGAAAGCAACUGAAAGACAAAGAUUUGAACAAAGAAUACUUGUUAGUGUUGGCAGUGGAUGGCAACUGUUGAAAUAAUUAUUAUAUUAACCAAAUACCAUUGAACACUGUCCUUUCCAGCAGUUUCCCUUUAAUCGCUUUGAACCGCCCGCGCUCGAGCCUGUCCUGGUGACGGAAAGUGUCGACAACUCCUCUGGCUGCGGUAGUGUUUGCCACAGUCCUAUCAGACAGUCUACCUUUCGAUCCGUGAGCCCCUGAAGACCCUCUUGGCCAGCCUGCAGACCUGCUGGUAUCUGGCCCUUGGCACUCCUUCUGAAUGUUACAAAUACAUUAAAAAAAUAAAAUAAAAAGCCUUUCAGGAAACAUUUGGUUUAGAAUGUCAUGACAAAUAGGGGUGCAUCAGCUGGAUUACCUGGCGGGGCUACUACUGAAGUGGAGAACGAGGCCGGCAGCGAGGCUGGGGUGGUGGCGUCCUUAUCCUGUCUCCUCAAAGCCCUCAUCCUCCAGGGGUCCCUCGACAGCAUCAGCCUCAUCUGGAGUGUCGGGGUCCGGUUGACUUCCUGCAGCACUUUGUUGGUCUGGGUGUACAGGUACUCAACACCAAUGAAUUCACAUGUAAUGUGGUGGAAGAACGCAGACACUCCGUGGCCAUGGGGUACUAGCCCUUGACAUCCAAGACUCUCUGGAUGGUCUUGUAAAGCCCAGCCUUGGUGAGAAGAGUGUUACACCCAGGCCGGGUGCGUGCCAGCUUGAAUGACCAUGUAUGUAGAGGAACAGCGGACAUGCAAAGAAGGGGUCAGGCGACUCAGGUGGCUGAUUGUAGGUCAGCCAAGGUUGGGGAGGGUACCACCACAGACCAACUCUGGUAAUUUUAUAUCUCCCAGUGCUACUCCUGGUGAACAGUGUACGGCCGAUCUGCUGCUGCUCUUUGUUCAGACAUGCCCGCCAGCUCUCAGGAUGCAGCAGCUGCAUUUUAGACAAGAAAAUGACAGUUAAAAUACUAGUAGCUUACAGUUGUGAAUAUUCUGAACCGUUGCUGUUAUAAGGUAACUCACCUCUGGACUUGCAUGUGCAGGCCUUGGAGGCAGGAAAGACUGCCAUGGGGCAGCCUCCUCUUCACACAUAGAAAUGUGUGUUAAAUGUGGUCUUAGUCAUCAAGAGCUCAUUAUAAUGUUUCUUGCAAUUCUCCAAUAUGAAGAUACUAGGAACUGCAGUCUUUGGGGCAAGGAUCUUCCUCGCUGUUGAAUGCAGUUGUCCACUGAACACUGCCCCAAAAACACUGGGACCACUGCUGCACCAAGAGGCCUUUAACACCAAGCAAACAGUGGGGAAUAAAGUAACAUUAUACUUUAUUAGAUGAAUUAACAGGUCAUCUUUACUAAUACUAAUAUUUACUCUGAAGCGUCUUAAUACCAGCAAGUGGAGAAAGGGGUGUAGCUGCCUCCUAGUCAGGGUGCCUUAUGUAUUUAAGGGCUGCUUCUAUAGGGUCCCCAGGUUUCCUGGAUGUCUGCUUCCUUAGCCAGUUGACAUAUCUGACAAAAUAAAUAUGGAUUAGAAAUUGGAUUAAUUAUCACAAAAAUACAAAUGAUAUCAGCAUGACAUUAGUUACUCAAAUGACUGAUCUCACCCAAUGUGAUCCUUGUCUUUAUACAGGUUCUGUAGUGUCUCUGCCAUAGAUAAUAGAAAAGUAGAUGGGCUUAUGUCAUAGAGCCCCUAUAAAUCAGAAUGGAGCAAUUAGACCGCCAUCUUACCUGGGACCUGUUCUACACAAUGUACAAUACAAACACAUGGUAGAAAUGGCAUUUCAGUUCUUAUAACAAUUACAUUUCCUUAAUAAUAUAUAAAUAGCCACUGUUAUGCAUAACACAAUGCAUAAAAUAACUACUUUUCAGAAUAUAAACAAAUUAAUUUGAAAGUUUUUAGUCAUUUAUUAAUUUAAGUGCAAAAUGGCUAUGGUCUAAUGUAGGAAGGUGCAGGAUAGUACUUAAAUUAAUAUACAUUUGCACUACAACAAUUACCUGUGA